rnacentral:ncRNA from 1 species
CGUCUUCAGGGCGGGGUGCAAGUCCCCACCGGAGGUAAAGUCCUCGAGCGGCAUGCCGCAUGAACCGGUGAGAUUCCGGUACCGACAGUAUAGUCUGGAUGGAAGAAGACG